UGUACUUGGAGCACCAAAUAUCUAGUA
rnacentral:piRNA from 1 species